rnacentral:rRNA from 1 species
CAGCCGCCACGGUAAUACGAAGGUCCCGAGCGUUGUUCGGAAUCACUGGGCGUAAAGGGAGCGUAGGCGGCGUGGUAAGUCAGAUGUGAAAUCCCGGGGCUCAACCCCGGAACUGCAUCCGAUACUGCCAUGCUAGAGGAUUGGAGAGGUAGCUGGAAUUCUUGGUGUAGCAGUGAAAUGCGUGGAGAUCAAGAGGAACACUCGUGGCGAAAGCGAGCUACUGGACAAUAACUGACGCUGAGGCUCGAAGGCCAGGGUAGCGAAAGGGAUUAGAGACCCCCGUAGUCCCUGUCUCUUAUAC